UGCAUUCUUCUCGCUAAAGUGGUCAUCGAAAGAGAGCCGCACUGAACCAACCCCACCGCCAGCAACAGCACCACCAACCCCACCAACCCACGGAUCCAACCUGACCUGAAAGGUCACCCCCUGGCUGCGCCGGCCGAGCUGCAGUGUGGGAGGACUGAGACGGACGACAGCGGAGGAGUCAUUGAACACCGUGACAUAGAUUGAGUGUUUUUUCUUCAGGGCUCAGGAAGAUAUAUAGAAGGACACGCACAGACUCUCUUUGUGGCUCAAUGUGUACUUAAGGGAACACAGGGUUUGUGAGCCACUUGAAAUACACUCAUCCAGAUAGCUUGCGUAGUCAAGUGUGUUUUCGUUAGGUGCAGCAGAGUAUUUACUACCUAGAUAGGAAAAGAAAACUCAGACGAGAUGGGUCAACUGGAAACUGAAGGCGGCGGCAGCAGCAUCAUCAAGGAAUGGAGUGGACAGGUCCAACCCGCUCUUGUCGCCACGCUGGUCUUCCUCUUCUGUCUGGAAGCCUGUCUGUGGGUCAGGAACCUCAGGCUCAAGAGAAGACUCCCAGGACCGUUUGCCUGGCCCGUGGUGGGCAACGCCAUGCAGCUGGGCCAGAUGCCCCACAUCACCUUCUCCCGGCUGGCUAAGAAAUACGGCAACGUGUACCAGAUACGCCUGGGAGGCAACGACAUCGUGGUUCUGAACGGAGACAAGGCGAUCCGGGAGGCUCUGAUUGAGCACAGCACUGAAUUUGCGGGCAGACCCGACUUUGUGUCUUUCCAGGCGGUCUCAGGAGGGAAUAGUAUGACCUUUUCAAGCUACAGCAAACAGUGGAAGAUGCACAGGAAGAUUGCUCAGUCCACCCUCAGGGCUUUCUCCUCGGCCAACAGUCAGACCAAGAGAGCCUUUGAGGGACACGUAGUGGCCGAGGCCACCGAGCUGGUCGGAAUCUUUCACAGCCUCAGUGCCGAAGGGCGAUACUUCAACCCAGGCCAUGCUCUGACGGUCGCAGCGGCCAACGUGAUCUGCGCCUUGUGCUUCGGAAAACGCUACGGCCACGAAGACGAGGAGUUCAAAACGCUGUUGGGGAGGGUGGAGAAGUUUGGGGAGACGGUGGGGGCCGGCAGCUUGGUCGACGUCAUGCCCUGGCUACGGUCCUUCCCAAACCCGGUCCGCACCAUCUUCCUGGAUUUCCUGGACCUGAACCGGCAGUACUUUGACUUCAUCCAGAGUAAGGUGGUGGCGGACAGGGAGACGUUUAAUCCCCGAGGUCACACGGGGCAUGAGCGACGCUAUCAUCGGCGUGAUCGAGGCCGAGGGGAACACCGGGCUCACGGAGGCCCACACGGAUAGCACCGUGUCGGACCUGAUCGGGGCAGGCCUGGACACCAUCUCCACCGCGCUGCACUGGAACUGCCUGCUGUUGGCCAAGUACCCGGACAUCCAGACCCGGCUGCAGGAGACCAUCGACCGGGAGGUGGGGCGCGACAGGCUGCCCACGAUGGAGGACAGGAGCGCGCUGGCGUACCUGGACGCCUUCACCUACGAGACCAUGCGCUACAUCAGCUACGUGCCCGUCACCAUCCCCCACUCCACCACGUCGGACGUCACCGUUGACGGCCUGCUCAUCCUCAAGGACACGGUGGUGUUUGUCAACCAGUCGUCCGUGAACCACGAUCCGCUGACCUGGAAGGACCCGCAUGUCUUUGACCCCUCGCGCUUCCUGGAUGAGGACGGCCGCCUGGACAAGGACCUCACGAACAACGUCAUGAUCUUCUCCGCGGGGAAGAGGCGCUGCAUCGGAGACCAGAUCGCCAAGGUGGAGCUCUUUUUGUUUCUGGCCAUCCUGAUCCACCAGUGUCACUUUGAGAAGAAUCCCAGUCAGGAUCUGCACUUGAACUACACCUAUGGGCUGACACUCAAGCCGCUAGAUUACAAGAUCUCAGCCAAACUCAGAGGAGAACCUCUCAUUGGUACAUGAUUGACUUUGCACACUGCCAUCUUUAUGUGUGGUGCACUAUUCGGUAUGUACUCUACUAGAUACUAUUUCUCAUGUGUUUUUAAGACCACAUUUGUUAUGUCAUAAUGCUCUUUUAUUAUCUGAGAUAAUAUAUCUUAACUUUUAUAUUGCACCCCCUUUGCAAACCUUUACGAGGGUAUUCAAUUCAAUGAGCCUACAAUUGACACAUUACGCAGUGGAAUGAGAGAGUCCUUUAUCGUCUGUAAGGGCUUUGUUGUUUCAAUGUUUUCCCCAUAUGUAAGCUAUUCAGUCUGGAUAUUCAGCACCACUCAUAAAUGUGUAAAUUGCACUUUUAUUAUAACUCUUUUUGCAUUAAAGAUUUAAAGUGAUGAUUACUGUGUUUGUAAAAGUAACUCUAUGAAUGAAAUCGAUUCAUACAUCUGCCUCAUUUUAUCCUUGAUACUCUCUGGCGGCAAUAUGGAAUGUAUAUUUGUGUCCCGCUAUAACCAUACUCAAAUGUUUCAGAAGUACAGCAUUCUGCUCAACAUGUUUUAAUAGAUGAGCCCUGGUUUUAAGUAAGGGAACUUUGCAUUGGAUGUACGCGAGGAACUUCCUGAUUAAAGACACCAAUGACAGCUG